rnacentral:rRNA from 1 species
GCUCAGGAUGAACGCUAGCUACAGGCUUAACACAUGCAAGUCGAGGGGCAGCAUGGUCUUAGCUUGCUAAGGCCGAUGGCGACCGGCGCACGGGUGAGUAACACGUAUCCAACCUGCCGUCUACUCUUGGACAGCCUUCUGAAAGGAAGAUUAAUACAAGAUGGCAUCAUGAGUCCGCAUGUUCACAUGAUUAAAGGUAUUCCGGUAGACGAUGGGGAUGCGUUCCAUUAGAUAGUAGGCGAGGUAACGGCCCACCUAGUCUUCGAUGGAUAGGGGUUCUGAGAGGAAGGUCCCCCACAUUGGAACUGAGACACGGUCCAAACUCCUACGGGAGGCAGCAGUGAGGAAUAUUGGUCAAUGGGCGAGAGCCUGAACCAGCCAA